UGCCCAGUGAGGCCCGCCGCCAUCGCAUUAGAGCAGUGGUGUCCAAAGUGCAGCCCGGGGGCCAUUUGUGGCCCGCAGUGUCGUGCACGUGACGGCCAUGGCUUCCCGCUGCAGCAUGGCAUCCAUCGGAGGAGGAGGUGAACUCACAUGAGAAACCGG